UCCGCUAAAUUCGUCUCGAGACAUAUUCAGUGCUGAUAAAUGUAGAAUGUUGAAUCUGUGAUAAUUGUCGACGAUGGAGAGAGAGAGGCUGAUAGCCGCUGUCGCAGGGAGAGUGAAGCUGCUGGAAGUAACAAUGGGGAGCCCGUUUGUAUCAUCUGAACAACCAGACUUCAAAGCAGCUUGACCAAAUCGGAGGGUGCCUCGUUGCUUAUCGUGAAUAUUACACCGACAUGAAUUACUACAAGUAUACUGGUCUGUCCAAUAUGCAUUGACCGAAUUGGGUAUGGUAUCUGCUCUGAGAAGGGAAUCGCUGGAGCCACAGUCCAACUAUACAGGCUUUCAAGAAACAGAGAGGAGCCAUCUUUGCAAGCUGAUACCCGAUUAGACAAACAAAACAUUCUCUCAUGUACUAGAGCACUCUGACAACUCAUGACCUAGUCCUAACGAUUGCCACCGCUUAUAAAUAUGUAGAGUGCUGAUUGGAAUGUGCUCACAAUCUCAACAGUGCUAUAAUUAUUUGAACAAUGUGUUGGAAUAUUCCACUUUUCCUUCCAUAAAUGUUGUAUCCACAUAUAAUCCACAGUGCUGCAAAGUUUCAGAGUUCUCAGGGUAUCAAACAAAAUUAUUUCAAAUACAGUGAAAUUGUUCGUGGA